rnacentral:rRNA from 1 species
UACGAAGGGGGCUAGCGUUGUUCGGAAUUACUGGGCGUAAAGCGCUCGUAGGCGGCUAUUUAAGUCAGGGGUGAAAUCCCGGGGCUCAACCCCGGAACUGCCUUUGAUACUGGGUAUCUCGAGUCCGAGAGAGGUGAGUGGAAUUCCGAGUGUAGAGGUGAAAUUCGUAGAUAUUCGGAGGAACACCAGUGGCGAAGGCGGCUCACUGGCUCGGUACUGACGCUGAGGUGCGAAAGCGUGGGGAGCAAACAGG